rnacentral:lncRNA from 1 species
GGAUGCCACAGAGCUUUACACUUGUGGAUCCAAAUUCCUCAUGGUUCUUGCACAUUUGGUCUGUUUCAUGUAAUGUUUGGGGACACGUUAAUUACAAGCCCACAUACAGUACUGCCAUGGGGUAAACAGCUUAGAAAUCAGGAAUGUUCAUCUUGGUUCCACAGUAGUUAAAAUACUGGAAAAAAGUAGACAAAUUGACACAACCAAAUGACAAUGUCCAUCAUGUCAGCUCAAGUCAGUUUCUGGCAAAGCCCACUUUCCAGAAGAAUAAACUUGUCUUUCUAUCAUCAAUGAAAAGAAAAUGAAUGAAAGAAGAUAAAAGAGUUGGCACUUCACUGCUUGAAGUAAAACAUCCAGAUAAUUAUAAAAUACAUUAGAUAUGCAUGGAGGACUUACAACAUUGAAUCAUUCUGACGUAAACAUCUCUGACGUGUAAAAUGUUAGGAAACAACAUAUGACAAGGGAGUCGUAUAACGCCCACCAUGUCUACGACAUUGUUGACACAAUCAUGGGAAGUAGUUUAUGCGUAAAAACAAUGGUAGCCCAGUGAAAACUGUAAUUAAAAGAUACUUGCCGACACCUGAGUGGAAAUCCUUUCUUCCACAAGCUAGCCAGACAGCAUAGGUGCAAGGCUUGAACAAACAGCAAUCAGGGGCAAAUAACUCUUAUUCAGCAACCUUAAUCACCAAGCCAUAGAGGUGUCAGUAUUUUUUGCGCUGGUGUUUAGUUAACUGCUUAUAGUAAGGGAGAGCAGAUUUGUAUAUGGAUACACAGGGUCCAAAACUCCAAGUUGACGGUGUGACUGCAAUACUAUACAAACAAAUAUAAGACAACUCCACCACAAGAAACAGGAAUUUUUAAUGGAACACUUACAUUUUUAUCAUCAUACUUGACGGCAGAUGCACAUGUGGCACCUAUUCUAAUCACCUGUACUGUUUUCAACUGAAAUUGUACUUUAACAAAUGCCUGAAAUUAUUCUGCCAGAUUGACCUGGUUCACAGCAGAAGAUGUACCUGUUUCCGCCAAAGAACCACUCACAGGAGCACACGUCUAAAAAGACUCUGCCGGAAGGUAAAGGGUGCAAGCAAUCACUGAACUUGUUACUGCAGACAAAAGUCUGAAUGGGAGCAGUGACGGUGGUGGGAUGAUCCGGUAUUACGUAUAGACUGGCAGAAGCAUUCUGGCUAACUGUCAAAUAUUUGAGUAUAUAUCUUGGAUACAAGUUUCAGACUUUGGCCCAGGCUGUUUUGCUGCAGUCGUGAUACGAUUUGAAGGGUAGUGCCGCAACAAUAUAACCACAUGAUGAACAAUGGGACCGGAAACGGGUAUCACCGAUACAUCGCACGAUAUUCACAGACAUUUGUGUUUACAUUUAUGAUUCAAUUGCCUUUUAUGACAAAUGGAUAUAUAUAGAAAUGGACAAGCAUGAAGUUAUCUACAAGUUUCAUCAGUAUUGACGGUUUCUGCUGUAAGUUUCGGACUCGAUAAAAAUCUCAGAUACAUUGUUAUGAAUGGUAAAGCAAGAAGCCAGUAUAUCGUCAUUGAAAUAGUGAUAAAUACAUUUGUCUGCGUAUUAUCUCCUGAAUGGUUGUGAAACAGUUUUUGAGAUACUGUUGCUAAUGUUUAGACUAUUGCACUUAAAUGGCCUAUUUAUUUUAUCAUUAUGAUUUAAUUUCCUGUCCAGUAAAAUAGAGAGAGAUAAUAUUUUUAUAAUAGCUUUGGGAUUGUCAGUUAGUGUAUACAGAUUCAGCCAAGGAGAAAUUAUGUAUCAUCACAUAAGGUUGUGAUUUUAUAUUUAUAGAAUAUCAUUAAUAUAUUUGUAUGAAAAUGUAAUUUAUUUGCUAUUAUUAUCUUAUCUUGGACCCCUUUCAAUAUCGGCAAAAUUACAUGAUGUUUGAAUACAUUUUUUGUCCAUUAAUUUAAAACUUGCCUGAAAUUACUUAAAAAAAUCAUAAACCGAAGUACAUUAAAAUGCCUCAUAAAAUUAUGAACCAACUUAAAAAGUGACAUAAUUUUUACCAUAUGAUGAAAAGAUAUGAAAAUGUAUACAGUGUAUAUGAAUUUGUAUAAUGUAAUUUUCAUGUUUUCACCGAGGUUUUAAAGUUUAUUAACAUCACUUUCUUCUGUGUUUAAUAGAUGCAAUCAGUUUAAUGCUAUACUUGUUGUAAUACCUGUUGAUGAAAUGGUUGAGAAAAUGUCCUUUAAUUUGAAUACGAUGUUAAAUUGACACAUUAAAGAAAUUUUACUUAUUUACAGUAAGGAAAGCGAAAAGUGGAAACUGCUUAUUUAAAUGAAAAAUAUACCAAUAACAUCAAAUGAAGCCCAUUUUAUUCUCAGUUCAAACAACAAACAUUUUUUAAUGCUUUUGAAAAAGCAAGCUAUUAGGUUUAUCAUGUUGAUGAAAUGUUUAAUUGUUUUCUCAUUACUUUCACAUUUUAUGCUCCGAUUAUUAGUGUUGGUGUUGCAGACCAUGGUGUUUUUUUAAAUUUUUGUUAAUGUCCACUUUUUUGGAAAACUGGAAAAUGUAUAACUUUCAAACUUUGUACACUUGUUUAUCACCAUGAGUCGAGCGGGUUGGCUAAGAACCAUAACUCUCAUUAACUCGUGCAUUUUGUUAGAUUUUUUACACUUUUUAACUUACUAUUUUUUGGUUAAAAUUUUG